rnacentral:rRNA from 1 species
CAGCAGCCGCGGUAAUACGUAGGGCGCAAGCGUUAUCCGGAAUUAUUGGGCGUAAAGAGCUCGUAGGCGGUUUGUCGCGUCUGCCGUGAAAGUCCGGGGCUCAACCCCGGAUCUGCGGUGGGUACGGGCAGACUAGAGUGAUGUAGGGGGGACUGGAAUUCCUGGUGUAGCGGUGAAAUGCGCAGAUAUCAGGAGGAACACCGAUGGCGAAGGCAGGUCUCUGGGCAUUAACUGACGCUGAGGAGCGAAAGCAUGGGGAGCGAACAGGAUUAGAUACCCGCGUAGUCCCUGUCUCUUAUAC